CCGUAGGGUGCGAGCGUUAAUCGGAAUUACUGGGCGUAAAGCGUGCGCAGGCGGUUUUGUAAGACAGAUGUGAAAUCCCCGGGCUCAACCUGGGACCUGCAUUUGUGACUGCAAGGCUAGAGUACGGUAGAGGGGGAUGGAAUUCCGCGUGUAGCAGUGAAAUGCGUAGAUAUGCGGAGGAACACCGAUGGCGAAGGCAAUCCCCUGGACCUGUACUGACGCUCAUGCACGAAAGCGUGGGGAGCAAACAGGAUUAGAUACCCUGGUAGUCCACGCCCUAAACGAUGUCAACUGGUUGUUGGGUCUUUACUGACUCAGUAACGAAGCUAACGCGUGAAGUUGAACCGCCUGGGGAGUACGGCCGCAAGGUUG
rnacentral:rRNA from 1 species